rnacentral:rRNA from 1 species
CCACCGGACUCCUACGGGAGGCAGCAGUGGGGAAUAUUGCACAAUGGGCGCAAGCCUGAUGCAGCCAUGCCGCGUGUAUGAAGAAGGCCUUCGGGUUGUAAAGUACUUUCAGCAGUGAGGAAGGUGGAUAUGUUAAUAGCAUAUUCAUUUGACGUUAGCUGCAGAAGAAGCACCGGCUAACUCCGUGCCAGCAGCCGCGGUAAUACGGAGGGUGCGAGCGUUAAUCGGAAUUACUGGGCGUAAAGCGCAUGCAGGUGGUUUGUUAAGUCAGAUGUGAAAGCCCGGGGCUCAACCUCGGAAUUGCAUUUGAAACUGGCAAACUAGAGUACUGUAGAGGGGGUAGAAUUUCAGGUGUAGCGGUGAAAUGCGUAGAGAUCUGAAGGAAUACCGGUGGCGAAGGCGGCCCCCUGGACAGAUACUGACACUCAGAUGCGAAAGCGUGGGGAGCAAACAGGAUUAGAUACCCUGGUAG